UACGUAGGGUGCGAGCGUUGUCCGGAAUUAUUGGGCGUAAAGAGCUUGUAGGCGGUUUGUCGCGUCUGCUGUGAAAAUCCGGGGCUCAACCCCGGACUUGCAGUGGGUACGGGCAGACUAGAGUGUGGUAGGGGAGACUGGAAUUCCUGGUGUAGCAGUGAAAUAGCGCAGAUAUCAGGAGGAACACCGAUGGCGAAGGCAGGUCUCUGGGCCACUACUGACGCUGAGAAGCGAAAGCAUGGGGAGCGAACAGGGUUAGAUA
rnacentral:rRNA from 1 species